rnacentral:RNase_P_RNA from 2 species
CCAGGGGGCUGGGCAGCCGCGUCGGGAAGCGAUUUCCGCCGAGGAAAGUCCGGGCUCCACGAAGAAAGGGUGGCGGGUAACGCCCGCCGAGAGCGAUCUCAGGGAAAGUGCCACAGAGAGCAUACCGCCGAUGGCCCAUUAAAAGGCACAGGCAAGGGUGAAAGGGUGCGGUAAGAGCGCACCGGGGGGCUGGCGACAGCCUCCGCACGGCAAACCCCACCCGGAGCAAAGCCGAAUAGGGGCGGCGCGCUCUACGGAGCAGGUGUGUUUCGCACCGACCGCCCGGGUUGGCUGCUCGAGCCAUGGAGCAAUCCAUGGCCCAGAUGAAUGGCUGCCCCUGCGGCGCAGGUCCUUCGGGAUACCGGUUGCAGGACAGAACCCGGCUUACAGGCCCCCUGGCAUC